rnacentral:tRNA from 2 species
GAUUUCGUAGCUCAAUGGUAGAGCAUCGGUCUGUUAAACCGAAAGUUGAAGGUUCGAGUCCUUCCGAGAUCG